CUCAGCUAAAUGAUCUAAGUCUACUAAUCCCCUUUCAUGAUUCCUGCACCAGUUAUAUGACAUGCUACAAGCCUACAAAGGUUGAAGGUGCACCCACCAUGCAUGGCACUACUUACAGGUUGGUUUACUAAACUACAAAUUUCCAUCAACUAAUUCUGAAUGUCGGAUUCGGGUAUAAUACAUAUCUCCCAACUCCAGCAUCCUGUAAAUUGGGGCGUCAGUGAAAGGGUGGAAAGGCGGCAGGACAGUGACUCAUUUACGCCACUCGUGCUGGUCAAAUAGGGUGGGCCUGCUCAGAAAGGGGGUGGGUUCACCCUUGAAUUACAAACUGAAGAUCUGUUGGUGUGUAGCAGCAACAAUCCUGCCGAGGGCCUCUCCUCCAGGCUAGAGAAAUGGGAAUAAUUCACAGUCGGGGGAUAGUUGUGCUUCAGAUGGAUAUACAGGUAAGACAAAAAGCGUAAAAAAGGUUCAUUGUCUAUUUCAGGACAGGAAUAAGUGUGGAGUGCCACAUACAUUAGGUGGACCUUCACACCAACUCUGCGAUAUCGGGCCUGGGUGCAGUGGCGUACUAACAAUGGUGGCGGGGAGGAGGGGGGUGCCACUCAUUAGGGUGGUGCCAUUCAGGGGUAGACUGAGCUGUCUGUAUGGCACUGUGCCCUGGGGGGGGGUCUGAUGUCCGAAUGACCGGCAGGAGGGGCGUGCACUGCACAGUACCUCACUCCUACCAGUCACUGCAUGUACGGUAGCCGAGCAGGCAGACCAUGGUAGAGGAGCCUCUGUUACCUCUACUCGGUAUGACAGGAAGCGAUCACUGAGAACAACAAAUUGUUUUCUGUCAGACCGGGUAAAGGAAACAGAGACUAGUCUGCCGCAGACCGCCCACUCGAUCUAGGCUACAUCAAGGGAGGUGAGGCUGAGUAGGCACAUGUGAAGGAACAAAGAAGGGCAAAGGAGGGGAGGGGGCCAAAAGAAGGGCAAAGAAGGGGAGGUGGACAAAGAGACACACCAAGGGGCUGGGGGCUCAAAGAGACACAAGAGCCCCACAGAGGGGCUUGGGGGGAAGACACACAAAAGAGACACUCAGAGACUCGCUGAGGGGUACAAAGAGACACACAGAGGAGCUGGGGUCACAAAGAGACACAGAGAGGGGCUGGGGGCACAAAGAGACAAACAGGGCGGUGGGGGUUCAGAAAAAGAUAUGCUGAAGAGCUGGGGGCACCAAGAGAUGCACAGAAGGGCUGGGGGGACAAAGAGUCACACAGAAGCACUGAGAUGGGCAAAGAGAGAAAGGGGCUGGUGAAGGGGGUAAAGAGACACUCAAAGUGUGUUGGGGAGAAAGCAGCAUAUAGAAGGGCUAGGGGGGACAGACAGGCACACAGAAGGGGAGUGGGGGAAGAUGAACACAGAGGGGAAGGGAAAAAAGAGACACACAAAGGGGUUGGGGGAGAAACAGAUGCCUGCUAGAAGAUGAAAGAUGUCUGCCAGCUGGCUACAACAGUCAGCCAUGCCUAAGGAUAUGUGAGAUAUCUUCUUGUGUGGCAUGUAGGGUAGGAUUUGAAUAAUAAUAAGUAUAUAGUUGCACUCACAUGUAAUAGAGCCUUGAAUGGCUCCAGUAAAUCAGCAUACAGUGGUACAAUUUCCACGUUUGGAUAUUUUUUUUUUAGGAGUAGUCAGUGAUGUCGUGUAAAAAUAAAACACAAAAUAAAGUGCUCUCCAUAAGCAAAACGGUUCAGUGGAAUAAAUAAUAUUAAUUACAAUUUAUUGAGCAAUCUCUAGGUAGUGCUCAAUCCUCAGCACUUUGGUGUAUAAAAUCCCCACUAUGGAGACAACUGGAAAAACUUUCACACAGGAGAAGGUAUCCAGGAGCACGGAUCAAAAUGGAACUUUAUUUAUAACUAUUUGAAAACAAUAAAAAGAGUGUCAUAAAACUUUUGACAUAUGCUUUUUAUGGGCAGUUCCCUGGUGUCCCCAAAAGCGAGAAACCAGGAAACAAAGUCGGGGUGGCAGGACAGGACCCAAAAAUUGGCACUGACCCGUUGCAAUUGGGAAGAUCUGGAGGCCUGAAAAUAGCUCAAACGGAAAAAUUAUCCAAAACAGCUAUGAUCACAGCUUGGCUAUAUUUUCCUUAGUUUUGCCAUUCUGAAUUAAUUUGCAAAAAUUUAAGGUUUAGUGAAGAACCCAAUUGGUGCCCUUGUUAAAGAGCAUUAAAUGCAAUCUAUACAUUGUGGCAACUGAAUAGCCUUAAAAUGUACAGAUUAAAAAGUUAGUUUGUAUUUUCCGUAAUUUGAAAUUCCUGGGCUUUAUUUAUAUGAAUUUAAGGAUCCUGUCAGUGCCUGCGCAAGCCGUCACUCCACCCCAAAUAACAGGGUUGCAUCAAACAUGUGUGGCUGUAAUUGUUUUUCGAUGGGGAGGGUGUGUGUUCAGCCACUCGAUUCAGCCAAGGAAGCCAUCUUGCUUCAGGAGGAGGGCUGCAUGGAGUAAUCUUGACACUGUGCAAUAAAUAAAACCCUUUGUGUGAUGUACGACAUGCUAAUUGUGAAUAAUUUUUCAGGAUUAUUCACUAACCAUGAACUGUCAGGAAUUCAGCAGGAAAUUGCUAAUUUUAGCUCGCAGUAGCCGAUCUGAAAACAUGAGCAAUUUAGCGAAUUUUUCUGCCUCUCUUGACGAAAGGAUUCUUUACAACGAGAACGAUAAAGUUAUGGAAUUCUCUUCCUGAAGAGGUUGUUUUAUCACAUCAGAGAUUUUUACAAAAUAUUUUUAAGUUUUUUGAAUAAAGAAUAUUCAAGGAUAUAAAAGGUAAACAGCUUGUUAAUCCAGAAAUUCUGGCAGCCAUUUUGGAAUCCAAAAAGAUUUCGUUUUUUUUUCUGUUUGUGGCAAAAUUGGAAAAUCACUUUAAAAAUGGUUGUUGGCGCCGCGAAGCUAGCUACCGAUCGAAGCAGACGUACAUGCUUAAAGCUCCUGAGAGAGUUUUGACAAAUACAAGCAUAUAAAAUCUAUAAUCCUAUAAUUCUAUCCUAUAAUCUCCCUAAAGUCAUCCAGACACCAUGGGAAAGAAAGCCAAAUCUCAAAGGAGCGACACAACCACCUUCUCUAAGGAUAUUAACACUUUACUCCAAGUGACUCCACAACCAAAAUGGCGCCAUGCGGGAGGACUCCGACAUGGCAUCGGAGAAGAGCGCCCACGAUGAUUCUCUUUUCCCUAUCAGGCCCGGUGAAAUAAGGCUUAACCCUAUUCCUGAACUGUAAAGAAGUAGGCAAGCCCCAAUACCACCUGGAGCACUUACCUGCCAGUAAAGCAAAUAUCCAAAAUCUACUGAAAGAGCUGAAGGCCCUAUUUGCUGUUGGUGCGGGAGAACUUGGAGACCAUGACAGUCCGGCUGCAGGCACUGGAGGAUGAUGGCAACAUCGCAAAAGGUAAACAUGACAAUCUGAAGACAGAGGUAGACAAGCUUAAGCAAGCUGACCUCAUUAUGGAGGAUAAAGUGGUGGCUGUAACAUAUUCAUCCUCACCUUGCGGUAAGCGGCCGUGCAUCUGCAUGUCGGACACUUGCAGCAUGUUAAUGGACGCCGGCCGCUGCGGAUUCAAGGCUAUUUAUACCCCCACACUCGCUCACGUAACUGACGAUAUCGGUGCGCACGUGACGUCACGUUUUGGGGUCAAAGAGUGAUCACAGCCAAUCAGAAAAGGAAAACCGGUAUAAAAGCCUAGAAUUACCUUUCCUCGUUGCACUGUCGUGGUUUCCCUAGUGGUUGUCCGAGAGCGCGUUCCUUAUUCAGGUUAUUCUGGUUAUUUGACUUUGGCUUCCCUGUUUUCUGGUAUCCCUGACCUCUGGCUUUCCUUUAUCGUUGUGUCUCUUUCUGUUUCCCUUGACCUCGGCUAUUCCUGACUAUUCUUUGGUACAUUAGUCCGGCCAUUCUAAGGCCCGGUAUGCGUUACCUAUUAGUCUCCUGAGUUACACAGUUCUACGUGCUGGAUCAUACUGUAAUCCUGACAGCGGCACUAGAAGACAAAGGAUUCGUGGUAUCCCUGAAGAUAUAAUAGACAUUGAGAUUCCUCUCUAUCUUCGAAGUCUGCUGAGCUCCAUGCCCUCUAAAGCUUAAGCUAUGCUACCGCAAUAUAACUUUCUGGUCCCCAAAUCACCUAGAGCCCCUGCUGGGGUCCCAAGCGCCUUAUUGCUAUACUUCCAGUCGCUUUGGUGUAAGCAACUCGUACAGCCUGUUAUGCGUGAAUCGUACCAUUUUGAAGGUUCUGUCCUUCCCUUCUUUAACAACCUUUCUAUGCCCACCAUGCUAAGGAGACAGUCCUUGCGACCUGUGACACCGAAGUUGAGGGACCAUAAAGUCAAAUACCGAUGGGGAUCAGCCCAAAAAUUAUCGGUGUUUCACAAGGAGAGUGACUCAGGGGUGACUUUGUAGGUCAUGAUUCUUGCAUGGGUGUGUUUGCAUAUUGUGUUGGUGUUUGAUUGCUGGGAUGUCUGCACAUACACUGCCAUAUACAUACACAUUAACAAACAGAAACACACUGCUUCAUAAACAAACACAGAUACACACACUGGCGCACAUAAAUAUACAGUCUCAGAUACACAUACUGGCAGAUACACACACUGGUAGAUAUACACUGACAUACAGAUGUACACACUAACAUACAGAUACACAAACAGGCAAAUACACACACAGAUACACGCACUGACAGAUACACACACACACACACAGUGGCACAAAGAUAAACACACUAGCACAAAGAAACACACUCAGAUACACACAGAUGCAAACACUGACAGAUACACUGACACAGAUAUACACAGUGACACAUACACACCUUGACACACAGAUACACACACUGGCACAUACACACUGACACACAGAUACACACAGGUACGCAUACACACUGACACACAGAUACACACACACACACACACACACACACACACAUAGGUCAUAAUGUUUAUCCUGUUAUCUUACCUUUUUUUUCUGUGGACGGGUGGCUUGCUUGGAGUGCUGCUUGCUGCUGGCGUGUGGAGUCUGCAUUAGCUCUCUCUCCGCUGCCACCUUCUCUCCGUCACGCUCUUCGCGCUCUAUGUCUGGGAGAAAGUGACCGGCUGUCACCUCCUCCCAGCAUCCGAUACUACAGGGGCUCAGUCGCACUCUUAAAUGGCCGUCGGGGGCUGACCUGGCCUCUGUUCAGCAAUAUCCAUUGGGUGGCCCUAAGUGCCUGGACCAUCUGAUGGGUAAAUCACGGCGGAACCCCAGGUUUGUUCUUCCGGAACCCUAGGGUUCUGCUCGACACCAACUGGGAAAUGCCUUAGUGAACAGCAUAAAGAGAUGUUGAAAUUGUAACUCUCCCCAGUUUGUAACGUUUGUAGCUAAUUCCCAGGAGUUUACUUUUCAAAACAAGAGGAUACAAAGCAAACAAGAGAAUAAAAUGACAACUAUUACAGUAACGACACAACAAAAAAGACACAGACACACACUUUAAUGUCUCUUCCUUUUGACCAUGACAGAUAUGAGAGUAAUAAACAUGGGCCGCAGAAAACGUAAAUUAUAUAGUUUAGUAUUGAAUAAAAUGAAUGCAUGCAAAAUCUAUAAAGCGUGAUUUUUCUCUGUGUUUUGAAACGUCAUAUUAUCGUUAUUCCUAAUAAAUUACAUAUUUUUUGUUGUUUUAAUAAUGAUUAAAUUUUUAGCACACCUAUUAGCAACUAUAUGAACUGCAACUCCCAUGGUCCUCAGCCAGUUUUGCCGGCCCCCCCCCCCCACCUCUCCUAGCUGAAUACUGACUUAUAAUCAAGGUGGUUGUUGUAUUUAAAGGGACACUGUAGUCACCUGAACAACGUUAGCUUAAUGAAGCAGUUUUGGUGUAUAGAACAUGCCCCUGCAGCCUCACUGCUCAAUCCUCUGCCAUUUAGGAGUUAAACCCCUUUGUUUAUGAACCCUAGUCACGCCUCCCUGCAUGUGACUUGCACAGCCUUCCAUAAACACUUCCUGUAAAGAGAGCCCUAUUUAGGCUUUCUUUAUUGUAAGUUGUUUAAUUAGGAUUUUCUUAUCCCCUGCUAUGUUAAUAGCUUGCUAGACCCUGCAAGAGCCUCCUGUAUGUGAUUACAGUUCAAUUUAGAGAUUGAGAUACAAUUAUUUAAGGUAAAUUACAUCUGUUUGAAAGUGAAACCAGUUUUUUUCUCAUGCAGGCUCUGUCAAUCAUAGCCAGGGGAGGUGUGGCUAGGGCUGCAUAAACAGAAACAAAGUGAUUUAACUCCUAAAUGACAGUGAAUUGAGCAGUGAAAUUGCAGGGGAAUGAUCUAUACACUAAAACUGCUUUAUUUAGCUAAAGUAAUUUAGGUGUCUAUAGUGUUCCUUUAAGUAGGAACACAACCUGUUGGCACAAGGGUUUAUUUAAGUACAUGAUGUAAUGCCAUUUAACGACCAGCAGAGGGCAGUACAGGAUAAGCCUUGCUCGGCAUAAAUGUCUAGCGUUAACAAACUAUGUGUGUUUAUGGAGUGAAAGUUCAGACAUUUAAUAUACACAGUGAAGCCGGUAUCCUGGUUAGACCGAGAAGUAAGUGCCUCCACCUUCUCUGCUACAACAGAAAAUCUGUGCGGUAAAAACAAAUGUUAAUAUACAGCUCGCUUCAUUGAUUUAGCAGAAUGUUGAUUGUGAGUUGACUGUAUGUCUGAACCGAAAUUUGAUUUCACCAAUACCAAUUGCAACAUAACUCAGACAUGUCGCCUUUUAAAAUCCACUUAACAGUAAUUGUCUGAUUUGUGUUUGCAUCAGGAACAAUCAAUGCUUUCUUUAUUUCGACGGCGGCUGAGAACAAAGAGGGCAAUUUUACUUGAGUUUUGUCCGAUGACAGCGACGUGGUGACACGUGGGCGGUGUGGAAGGUACACGUGGCCCCCCUCGCAGGAAAACGUUUGUUUCUAGAUAGGAAAUAUCUAUAGCACAGCCAUUUGGAUCAACAAGCAGAUAACGCAAACGUGGAUGGACAAUGUCCCUCAGCUAUGUAUUUAUAUUUCAAACAGAGUUAUAUAAAACACUUUGGAAUCUUUAACAAAUUCUGUUUUCUGGGCUUCGAUCGAGUAAUGGCAAAAAGAAGUUGACAAUCUUGUUAAAUGCCAUAUUUCGCAUUCCAAGUGUGCCAUGUUUUAUAUUAAAGGAUUACGCCAGACUCCUAAAGC
rnacentral:lncRNA from 1 species